GGUGAACGUUGAGGCGAGAGGACUGUACUGCCUCAGCUCACGUAGUGAAUUGGAACCUACCCUCACAUUGUGUGCUUCUGUGGAACCUACUGCUUGAUAUAGUGCUUCAGUGGUGCGACAAAGGAGUUGCCGAGGAUUAUACACUCCCUGAAGGUGCGCGACAACACUCUCCUUGUGUGUUGAAGGUGUGUUUAUAUACCAUGAAUGAGCCAGGUGGUAGACUAUAGUUCACCUGGUGAUGAUGACGUCAGUGAGGCAGUAUGAGGAGAACUCACGGUAGUUGGUACUGACAAAACCACAACACAAGUUACAGUGAUUUUUUUAGUGUAAACAAAGUGAAUUGUUGAAGAGAAAAGACCAAGAGUAAACGGGAGGACGUGUAGGGUGAGGAGAGGCCCCCCUCUCCACCAGCAUGUAUCCUGCGGCCAUGAACGCCGCGGUAGCUGCGGCUGCCGCAACGCGACACCCCGUCAGUCUUCCGGGACCCCAGCCUGGCCAGCCCUUCAAGUUCACCGUUCCGGAGUCUUGCGAUAGAAUGAAAGAAGAGUUCAACUUUCUUCAAGCACAGUACCAUAAGUAAGUCGAUUUCUUUCACCUGCUUUC